rnacentral:rRNA from 1 species
UACAGAGGUCUCAAGCGUUGUUCGGAUUCAUUGGGCGUAAAGGGCUCGUAGGCGGCCAACUAAGUCACACGUGAAAUCCCCAGGCUUAACCUGGGAACUGCGUGUGAUACUGGAUGGCUUGAAUUCGGGAGAGGGAUGCAGAAUUCCAGGUGUAGCGGUGAAAUGCGUAGAUAUGUGGAGGAACACCGAUGGCGAAGGCAGCCCCCUGGGUCAAGACUGACGCUCAUGCACGAAAGCGUGGGGAGCAAACAGG